rnacentral:rRNA from 1 species
AGUGAACGCUGGCGGUAGGCCUAACACAUGCAAGUCGAACGGCAGCACAGUAAGAGCUUGCUCUUACGGGUGGCGAGUGGCGGACGGGUGAGGAAUACAUCGGAAUCUACUUUUUCGUGGGGGAUAACGUAGGGAAACUUACGCUAAUACCGCAUACGACCUACGGGUGAAAGCAGGGGAUCUUCGGACCUUGCGCGAUUGAAUGAGCCGAUGUCGGAUUAGCUAGUUGGCGGGUUAAAGGCCCACCAAGGCGACGAUCCGUAGCUGGUCUGAGAGGAUGAUCAGCCACACUGGAACUGAGACACGGUCCAGACUCCUACGGGAGGCAGCAGUAGGGAAUAUUGGACAAUGGGCGCAAGCCUGAUCCAGCCAUACCGCGUGGGUGAAGAAGGCCUUCGGGUUGUAAAGCCCUUUUGUUGGGAAAGAAAAGCAGCAGGUUAAUACCCCGCUGUUCUGACGGUACCCAAAGAAUAAGCACCGGCUAACUUCGUG